ACUCCUACGGGAGGCAGCAGUGGGGAAUAUUGCACAAUGGGCGCAAGCCUGAUGCAGCCAUGCCGCGUGUAUGAAGAAGGGCCUUCGGGUUGAUAAAGUACUUUCAGCAGUGAGGAAGGUGGGUAUGUUAAUAGCAUAUUCAUUUGACGUUAGCAUGCAGAAAGAAGCACCGGCUAACUCCGUGCCAGCAGCCGCGGUAAUACGGAGGGUGCGAGCGUUAAUCGGAAUUACUGGGCGUAAAGCGCAUGCAGGUGGUUUGUUAAGUCAGAUGUGAAAGCCCGGGGCUCAACCUCGGAAUUGCAUUUGAAACUGGCAAACUAGAGUACUGUAGAGGGGGGUAGAAUUUCAGGUGUAGCGGUGAAAUGCGUAGAGAUCUGAAGGAAUACCGGUGGCGAAGGCGGCCCCCUGGACAGAUAC
rnacentral:rRNA from 1 species